rnacentral:tRNA from 1 species
GAAGAGGUAGGCUUGGAGCCAGCCAUCUUUGAAAGAAUGCGUAGUAGUUCACUCAAGAACUCUUUUUCCCCA